UACGUAGGGUGCAAGCGUUAAUCGGAAUUACUGGGCGUAAAGCGUGCGCAGGCGGCUUUGCAAGACAGAUGUGAAAUCCCCGGGCUCAACCUGGGAACUGCAUUUGUGACUGCAUGGCUAGAGUACGGUAGAGGGGGAUGGAAUUCCGCGUGUAGCAGUGAAAUGCGUAGAUAUGCGGAGGAACACCGAUGGCGAAGGCAAUCCCCUGGACCUGUACUGACGCUCAUGCACGAAAGCGUGGGGAGCAAACAGA
rnacentral:rRNA from 1 species